rnacentral:tRNA from 1 species
UGGGUUUUGGCUCAGCGGUAGAUCGCUCACCUAGCACGUGUGAGGCCCUGGGUUUGAGCCUCAGCAUCACAU